UAUCAUCAUCAUCAUUUUUUUAAAAAAGUGAUUGCUGUUCAUUAACUAGUUUCCUCUAGAGCAGGAGUCCCCAGCCCCUGGGCCAUGGACUAGUACCGGUCUGUGGCCUACUAGAAACUGGGCCACACAGCAGGAGGUGAGUGGCAGGCCAGCGAGCGAAGCUUCAUCUGUAUUUACAGCCCUCCGCAUCGCUCGUGUUACCGCCUGAGCUCUGCCUCCUGUCAGAUCAGUGGCAGCAUUAGAUUCUCAUAAGAGCGUGAACCCUACUAUGAACUGCGCAGGCGAGGGAUCUAGGUUGUGCGCUUCUUAUGAGAAUCUAACGCCUGAUGAUCCGAGGUGGAGCUGAGGCAGUGAUGCUAGCGCUGGGGAGCGGCUGCAAAUACAGAUUAUCAUUAGCAGAGAGGUUUGACUGCACAGAGACCAUAAUAAAUCAAUUGCUUGCAGACUCAUAUCAAAGCCCUAUCAGUGGGCUUCGCUGGUGGCGCAGUGGUUGAGAAUCUGCCUGCUAAUGCAGGGGACACGGGCUCGAGCCCUGGUCUGGGAAGAUCCCACAUGCCGCAGAGCAACUAGGCCCGUGAGCCACAACUACUGAGCCUGCGCGUCUGGAGCCUGUGCUCUGCAACAAGAGAAGCCGCGAUAGUGAGAGGCCCGCGCACCGCGAUGAAGAGUGGCCCCUACUUGCCGCAACUAGAGAAAGCCCUCGCACAGAAACGAAGACCCAACACAGCCAAAAAUAAAAAUAAAUAAAUUAAAAGAAGGCUCAACAUUUAAAAAACAAAAACAAAACAAAACACCCUAUCAGUGAGUGGCAAGUGACAAUUAAGCUGCAUCUUACCUAGUAGACUGGACAUAAGCAACACACUUCUGGUGUCACUGUAUCGCAUCACCCCCCAGAUGGGACCAUCUAGUUGCAGGAAAAUAAGCUCAGAGCUCCCACUGAUCUUGCAUUAUGGUGAGUUGUAUAAUUAUUUCAUUAUAUAUUACAAUGUAAUAAUAAUAGAAAUAAAGUGAACAAUAAAUAUAAUGCACUUGAAUCAUCCAGAAACCAUUUCCUGCCACCCGCCAUCCCCCUCCGUCUGUGGAAAAAUUGUCUUCCACGUAACCGGUCCCUGGUGCCAAAAAAGGUUAGGACCGCUGCUCUAGAGGGAGCAGAGUACUUCUCAGUUCUGCCACUAGAGGGCAGCAGAGCCCUGGACUGGGACCCAGAGGUCCUGAGGGUGGUGCCCUGCUCUCUUCUCACAUCCUUGGGUCUUGAGCCCUCCUGAUGCUUAGCUGUGUGCUGGAGGGUAGGAGCACAGAGCAGCGGGCUGGCCAGGGGGCAAGAGAUGGCACAGCCUUUGGGAAAUAGGAGCACAUGCCCAGUCCUGACUUCAGUUCUGAGAGGAAAACGUCUGACAAGCAAGAUGGUGGUUGGUCGUGACACCCUCCUCCAGGAAGCUCCCCGCUGACUCCCGGGCUGGGUCAGGAGCCCUCUUCUUGCCCCCAUAGCCCUGGAAUCCACGGCAUCAGCAUCACAGGGUACGUCACCUUCUCUAUGCUCCCUUUGGACGGUCGGCACCUCGAGGGCCGUGCACUCUGACUCCUUCAGGGGUCCCAGCAUGGGCCGAGCACUCAGGGGUGCUUAAGGCUUAUUGAAUACAUGUAUGUGGGCAGCGGGUGUCUGAGCUGGGUUCAGAGCCCCUUCCUUCUGAGACUGCCCCGAAGGUGGAGCGAAGGGGAAGGGAGAAUUCCUAAGACUGAAAGAUGCUUAUCUCCAGAGGCUCCGGAGACCACCCACUUGGCCCUGGGAUGUCUGAAUCUUUAUGCCAAGGUCUUGGCUGCACAAUGCGACCAUAAAAUCACCCCCACCAGAUCUUUCAAAGGAGGAAACAGAGGCUCAGAGAGAGGAAGUGAGGUCACACAGCAAAUAAGAAGCAGAGCCUCUUUGAACCCAGACCCACCCGACCCAGGGCCUACUCCCUGAAGUCCUUUGCUCUAACAACCACCCUCUCCCAGCUCUGCAGCAGUUCCCAACUCAGGAAGCCCAUGCAUGUCCGCCAGUCACCACGGUGCUCACAGCAGCCCUGCAAGGUGCCUCCCUCCUGGACACCCCCGCCGAGGCUGCUGGUUUCCAGGAAAAGGCCGACGCAAUCGCUGAGUCAACGGAUUGAGGCUGGUAUCACCCUGGCAGCUCUACGAGAUGAACCUGUUGCUUCCAGAGCCCAGCAGGGCCUGCCCAGGAUCCCCGGACCUGGCCAGGUUCCCGCUACCCACCCUGCACCAUUGUUCCUACCUGGCAACCAGCCCUGCCUCUCUCGCUCUCCUUCUCUCCUGCCCCAGCCUCUAGCCCAAACAUCACGUCAUGCCCCGAACCAGCCUCUCUCCAACUUCCCAGAUGCCAGACUUGCUCGCUCUGCAGUAGGAGGGGGUGUCAGGAGACCUGGGUGUGAAUUCCGGGACCACACCUACCGGCUCUGUAACCUUGGGCAAGUCCUUUUACCUCUCUGAGCCUCAGUUUCCUCACUGAUGAGAUGCAGGUUGUCACCCCACUGGGCCUUACUGUUCAAAGGAUAGAAGGGGCCCAGGGGGUGCCGGCAGGCAAGAGGUGUUCAGGGAAUUAAUGGCUUUUACAGACUCUCCUCCAGCAUGACCUGUUUUCCCAGGGCCUGUGGGGGAGAAGGGAGCUGUGGAAUCUUCUGCUCGCCCACCUCACAUCCAUCAGCAUCAAUCAUUGUGCUCAUCAUACAGCUCCCUGGUUCACUGGUGAAAUGGGUUCGAGCUUCCCACCUGAGUCUCCCACCUGAGCCGGCUCUGAGUUCCUGGCAUUAGCAGAGCCUGAGGUGUGGGCAGGGAAUGGACACGGCCAGAGGCCACCAUCUGGGCGAGGUCAGGACUUGGAAGAAUCCAGCCUGUCCAAGAGGAGAGCAGACAAGACUGCCUUGUGGGGGGAUUCGGAGGGGAGGCCUGGUCCUCUCCGGGGCAGCUCCAGGUGAUGGCCCCCGGCCAAGGAGCCCAUGCUGUAGGCGUAGUGCCCACACCCUGGUUCUGGUGUAGCACGGCACCCCUGCUCCAGACAGCGUCUUCUUGUUUUUUUUGGGUUUGGGAGGAAUUAGUGAAGUUGUUCUGUAAUUAGCAGUGGGGUGGGCACCAUCCAGGACUCGCAAGGGGGGCUGGGAAAGAAGGGGAGAGAGGCUGGGGACCAGGAUUGCUCAACAAAUGACCGGUGAAGCGGGAGGAGUGGGAAGGGAGUGGUGGAUUGAGUAGAGUGAAUCAGUGAAUGAAUAAGUGAGUGAGUGAAUUAAUGAAUAAGUGAGUGAGUGAAUUAAUGAAUAAGCUAGUGCCUAAACAAUAUUAGCAAACACUUAGGUAGCUCUCGCUACAUGCCUGGCGUUGUUCUAAGCCCUUUCCUUGUCUGUACUAACUCAGUCAUCACAAAAGUAAGCUGUCUUACUACCUCCAUUUCAUGGAGGCACAGAGAAGUUAAGUAACUUACCCCAAGUCAUACAGAUGGUAAGUGACUGAGUUGGGAUUGAACCCAUACAGACUGGCUCCAGAGUCUCCUGAUACCAAAUGGGAGCCCAGCCCCAGGACUAGGAGGAGAGUUCAUAGCUGAGUGGUGGGAAGCUGGAUUUUGCAGUCUGGACCUUGAGACUUCAGACUUCACAUUAUUUCGUAGGUCGUUCAUUCAUUCAUUCCACAUAUCUGCUGGCCACUCACUCACUCACUCAUCCAUUCACUGAGUGCUAGCUCUGGGAAAAGGAGGGGUGAGAAUUAUGAUUCUGUUCUGCCCUGGCAAAAUGUGUCCUUCAGGGCUCAGCUCAGGUGCCACCUCCUCCAGGAAGCCUUCUCUGAUUUCCUCUGCAGAGGCUCCUGGGCUUCCCUCAGUAUUAUCUUCCCCCUGCGCCUGCUUCCCUCUCUAGUAGGGCAGUGCUUUAGUCUCUGAAUUCUUGGUAUACCAUGGGUGCUCAAUAAAAGCUUGAUGAAGCAACUUGUUGCUGCUGGGCCUCCUCCUGGGUACUGCCAGCACCCUGCUCUCUGCUGCUUCCUCUCCUCACUCCAGCCAGGAUGCUCCAGUGUCUGGGCACACUCCCCAAAAGACUUUCCCAUCCUGCUGGUGAGUGGAAACUCCCCAGGCACUGGUUCCAGCCAGGGGCCAUGAUCAGCAGGGGUGGGAUUCACCCCUGCCUCGGGAGGGAGGGAACUGGGCCCGCCCUAGCUCAGCAACCAACAGCAGCCUCUUCCUUUGCUGGCUAAAUGUUUGUUUUCAAAUUCCUGAGGCCCGCAUCACCUCUCACCCCUGUCCCCACUGGCCCCUGGCCUGGCUUUGCUUCCUUCCUCCCCUUACUUGACCAGGCUGGUUUGCCCUGGGGAGCUGGGCCAAGCCUGUCUCUCCUGCUGCCCACCAGCUAGGUCCCGAGCCUUGAACUGGCUGACUGGGGAACCCAGAGAUUGGGGCAUGAGACAGGGAGCUCAGGAGUCCUCCGCAGCUCCUCCGCAGAGAGUAUGGAAAGGCCAAAUCUUUUCGCUCUUCAGGGAAUCACAGGCUGGUAGCCAGAACAAGUUACUGGGUUAGUCGGGUUGGGCAGACCUAGGCCUGGCUGAGGAGGCCCAGCACAGGUCAGACCUAAUUCAAACCCUCCCCAGCUGGGAGUCUUGAACAAGUAGUGUGGUGGGUCUCAAACUUGAACUCUUGUGCCUCAGAAUCACCCAGGAACCUCGACAAAAAUACAGACUCCUGGGCCCCAUCCUCUGACUUUCUGAUUCCGUGGAUCUGAGGGAGAACCUGGGGAUCUGAAUUCAGAGCGUGCUUCCCUGGUGAUUCAGAUGCAGGAGGCCCGCACUGCUGACACACAGUGGUGAAAAGCUUGAAGAAGACAAAGCCAGGUUAGACGGACAACCAUGGGUUCUAACCCCAGCUCUACCAUGUACCUGUGCUACGACUGACCUUUGAGAACUGUACCUUCCAGUUCAGUGGGCACUGGCCACAGGUGGCUAUUUACGUUUAAAUUAAUUGAGAUGAAAUAAAAUUCAAGCCAGGUCCUCGGGGGCAUCGGCCACAAUUCCAGUUCUCAGGAGCCCCGUGUGGCUUAGUGGCCACCAUAUGGCACAGAGCAGAUAUAGAACACUGCCAUCCAGCCAUCCCUCCAUCCACAGAAAGUUCUCUUGGACGGCACUGUUAUAGAAUGUCAGCUCCACGAGGGCAGAGAUAAUCAUUUGCUUUGUUCCCUGGUGUCCAAGAUAUACAGCAUAGUGCCUGGAACAUAGUUGGAGAUCCAUAAAUACUUUUUUAGUUGAUUUUUUAUUGUUAAAAUAUACCACGUAUAAUGAAAAAUGGACCAUCUUACCCAUCUUUAAGUAUUCAGCUCUGUGGCAUUAAGUAUAUUCACAUCGUUGUGCAACCAUCACCACUAUUCAUCUGCAGAACUUUGUCAUCAUCCCAAAGUGAAACUCUGACCCUAUGAAACAAUAAAUCGCUAUCAAUAAAUGGGUGAUCUUGGUCACCUCCCUGCCCUGAGCUUCAGCUUCCUGACCUGCAGAAUGGGUGUCAUACGAGUUCCCAUCUUGCGAGUCUGUAAAGGUUAAAUGAGAUCUAGAGCGUGUGUUUAGCACAGACCCUGACGCAGACUAAGUGCUCAUUAAAUGUUCGCUUUUGGGGCUUCCCUGGUGGCGCAGUGGUUGAGGGUCCGCCUGCCAAUGCAGUGGACGCGGGUUCGUGCCCCGGUCUGGGAAGAUCCCACAUGCCGCGGAGCGGCUGGGCCCGUGAGCCAUGGCUGCUGAGCCUGCGCGUCCGGAGCCUGUGCUCCGCAACAGGAGAGGCCACAACAGUGAGAGGCCUGCGUACCGCAAAAAAAAAAAAUGUUCGCUGUUACUGUGUUAUUGCCCCAUGGGGCAGUCUUGCCUGAGUAUCCCGCAACUCCCUGCUCUCUGAACUCUCCAUUCAAGUAGACAGAAACAGGGACCACUGUUGGUGUGAAUGACAUGGGUGUUUUUGUCUCCAGGGCAUGAGCCGCUGUUGCCUUUGUGUCCUCAGCCAGGCUAGCUACCCUGAUGACCGUCACUUCCAGCUGCUUCACCAACAGCUGUCCUGGGAGCCUGCAACACCCCCUGAAAUGCGGGCGGAGUUGGAAUAAACCCUUACAGACGAUGUCAAAGUACAGAUGGGAAGGCUGAGGCCCAAGGUCACAUAGGAAGGCAGAGGCAGAGCCACCGCUCAGAGCAGGAAUGCUGAUCCCAGUCUUUUCAAGACACUA